GGCUUCUUCUAAACGUAACUCUUUUUCUUUUUCUUCUUCUUUUUUUUCUUUUUUUCUGAAGGGUGGUGGUGGGGUAUACAGGUGUAAAAUUGUAUUGUUAUUUCCUGUGGUAUGUACAUCUGUGUCCACCGUUGUCCACAACCGACCUCUUUUAAAUUACACUUGGCGAUGGACUUGGUAGGAUGUCAGAUCAAGUCACA
rnacentral:lncRNA from 1 species